rnacentral:rRNA from 1 species
GAACUGGGAAGAGCUCAUGGCGAAAUCCGCCGUCGUUGCGACGGUCCGGAUAUUUCGCGUAUAGGAGAGACGCUUCCGAACGUCGACGCCGGUGUAAGUCCCCCUGACUGGGGCUCCUACCCCGAGAGGGUGCAAGGCCCGUAGCGGCCGGCGUCGGCUUCGGAUGUCCUCUCCGGGGAGUCGGGUUGCUUGAGAGUGCAGCCCCAAUCGGGUGGUAAACUCCAUCUAAGGCUAAAUACGACCCGGAGACCGAUAGCGAACAAGUACCGUGAGGGAAAGUUGAAAAGGACUUUGAAGAGAGAGUUCAAGAGUACGUGAAACCGUUCGAAGGUAAACGAGUGGGCCCUCGAAGCCGUAAGGCGGGGGGACUCAGCCUGGCGCCUCCGGCCCGCCGUCGCGCGCGCGCUUCCCCACCGGGACGCGCCGCGGCGGAACCGGCCGGGGUUCCCGGCGCAUUUCCUCCCGCCCUCGGACGCUGCGACCGGUCGCGCGUGCCACGAGCGGUCGGCCUUACUCGCGGGGAACGGCAGGUAGCGGGGGCGGCGCUUCGGCGCCUUCCCCGUGUUUAGCCACCCCGCGAUCGAGAGCCGUUCGCGCGACCGAAGGACUCGGCCCUCAGGGGCCUCUCCGCGCCUUCCCGCUCAGGGAUCGGCCGCCCCCGUGCAGGG